GACGAGCGCUGGCGGCGUGCUUAACACAUGCAAGUCGAACGGAAAGGCCCUGCUUUUGUGGGGUGCUCGAGUGGCGAACGGGUGAGUAACACGUGAGUAACCUGCCCUUGACUUUGGGAUAACUUCAGGAAACUGGGGCUAAUACCGGAUAGGAGCUCCUGCUGCAUGGUGGGGGUUGGAAAGUUUCGGCGGUUGGGGAUGGACUCGCGGCUUAUCAGCUUGUUGGUGGGGUAGUGGCUUACCAAGGCUUUGACGGGUAGCCGGCCUGAGAGGGUGACCGGCCACAUUGGGACUGAGAUACGGCCCAGACGCCUACGGGAGGCAGCAGUGGGGAAUAUUGCACAAUGGGCGGAAGCCUGAUGCAGCAACGCCGCGUGCGGGAUGACGUCCUUCUGGUGGUAAACCGCUUUCGCCUGUGACGAAGCGUGAGUGACGGUAAUGGGUAAGGAAGCACCGGCUAACUACGUG
rnacentral:rRNA from 1 species